AACCAGAGGUCUUAUUAUUAUUUAGAUAUGGCGAGAUGAGGGGAAGUAGUAGUAUUUAUAUUCACAGACCUCAAGAAGAUGCAAGCCACACGUGGGGCCAAAAUGGGAAGCAUUAGGGUUGGUCAGGAGGCAGAAGAAAAUGGGAAAUUAUGGGCAAGAGGCUUUAUUGUGGUUUCUGUGGGAAGGAAUAGACAAGGAAAGAUAAACAGAUUUAGGAUUGGCUAGUUCUAAUAAUCUUAGUGGGCCCUGGGGCACAACGGUGUCUCUAGUUUGUUGGUACCUGGGUGUGGGAUGAUUCAGACAGGUUACUAGGGAUCUGGAGUGUGAGAGCCUGAUAAAGGAGAUGGUUGGGGGUGUGGGUACCCUCAAAUCUGAUUGGCUAAUUAGAUUGGUUGAUUGAAUUGGUUGGUUUGCCUUUGGAAGUUGCACUUGGGGGUGAGUGGUUUACUGUCUCCAGGAGUCAGUUGACUGUAUCCCAGAUGUCAAAGCAUCAGGAUGCAGGAAAUGAAAGACCUGGUUGAUAUAGUCGUGGGUUGGGGAGUGAGUCAGAAAAGACUGAGGAUGUAAACCUUGUAUGUCAGGAGCUACCCGUGGCUCCCUCCUCUCUCAAGGGUGGUUGGAGGUGGGGAGGCAGGUUGCUGGUUUCCAAAGCGUUUCCCAUGAAGCCAGGACCUGCUUGCUGGUGAGAUCUUGCUCAUGCCUGUCUCCUGGGCAGCAUCUGGCAAAGACGCUCCUGAGUGUGGGCUCUGGGGCUGGCUGGGCUUUCAGGCUCAUUCUCAGGGUUUUGGCUUGGCUGAGCUAAGCUCUUCUCAGUUUGCAUGAAGUCAGAGGUGGGCCAGAAAGAGCUGUCUGAAUGGUGAGAAUAGCCCCCCUGGGUCCUGACUCAGUUUCCAGUAAAGGGAAAAGGAAUUAGUAGUUUUUUGGCAGGUACUGCUCUGCCUAGGGAUAAACAAGACUCAUCCUUGUGGAAUGUGAGCAGAAUCAGCAUUUUUUUUUUUUUUUUUAAAUUGGCUUUUGGGGAAAACAAAAAAUACAGGCAGAGAUCCCACAGCUGUCUGAGGCCACCUCCACUUCAACUUCCUACAGCCAGGACCCCAUCUUGGGCAAAUCUGCCUUGUAAGUAAGCUGUUGCCUCCUGAUCUGCAAGCUCAUAAUAUCUUGGCUCCUUCUGAAGAAGCUGACAAUUACCCAAUACUCCUUGCCAGCUGGCUUCAGCCAAUAAAAUUGCAGCAUGCAAAUACAGCAUCCUGCAGCUACUCUCUCCAUCAGACCACUCCAAAGUAGGAGGGAUUUCCUCUAAGAGGGGAAAUUUGACUCUUAAAUGGAGAAAAGGAAAAAAAAAAUUGGAAGGAUUUUCUUUAUGUUGGAGACAUUUCUGCUGCUCAUUAGCAAGAAGAAAAGGAGGAGAAUGUCAAUGGGUAUUCUUUUUUCCAGUGCGCCUUGUGUGGGAAAGCAUGUAUUUCAUCUUCUCUGGUGAGAGCAUGAGGUGCAGUCCAGGAGUCCACGUGAUGUUCUCUCUCCUGGAAUGGGGAUGUCUGGCCCGUGCCUGUCCCACCAUAGCAUUCUGGAAGCAUACUGCUUGGUUGGCUUCACAGUUUCCCAACUGAAGAGGAAUUUGUUUGGGGAUGAAUGUACCUGGAGUCUCAUCCACAUCUGACUUAGAUGAUCUUGAGCAAAGUGACCAGUUAUGCAUUCGGAGCCCUCUUUCUACAGGACCUUUAUAUGAAGAGACACAGAGCUUGCUUUCUCUCUCUGCCAUGUGGAUUCAAUGAGAAAACGGCUGCCUGGGAACCAGGAUGAGGGCUCUCCCCAGACCUGGGAUUUGCCAAUACCUCGAUCUUGGACUUCCAGCUUCUAGAACUGUGCGAAAUAAAAGUCUGUUGUUUGGGUCCUUCUAAUACACAGUA